rnacentral:lncRNA from 1 species
AAAAACAACCAAAUGACCAAAUUUUCCAAUGAUAUGGUGUCUGGGACCUUGAUUUUUGUAUUUAUAUAUUUAUAUAUUGUUAAUUUAUUAUUAUGUAAUUUCAAAUCCAUUUCUUUGAAGUUUAUUAUUUUUUUUCAUUGGGUUUUUUGUGACUACACUUUAUGUAGGACAUGAAACCACAAAGGACCAAUAAUAAAAACUUAUGGUUGUGAUUUAAAUGAACUAUUCCUUACAUUGGAAUUGGCCACAUAUAUUUCAGUUGCAGAUCAAGGAUUUUUUAAUACUAUAUAAAUUUGUUAAACAUUAUAGUAGAACUAGAAUUUUAUGGGGAUAAUUUUGCACUCAAAAAUGAUUUAUUUUCCAAUCAAAAAAGGGGAAUACACCCUCUUAGCUCUCCUGCAUCCACCACCGUAUUAGUUAUUUUGGUUUAAUGGAAACCAACUAAUUUUCAUGAGCAAUUUAUUUAUGAGUGUAGAAAAUAAUAUGAUUUGAAAUUGUUGCGAAUAUGUAUAACUUUCCUUAUUUAACUACCAAGUAUCAAGUAAAUUUGAAAAUCAGGAAAUUAUAUCACUAUUAAGUGGACUAGAAAAAGCUAAACGUGAAAAUAAGUAUCUGCAAAAAAUGAGUUUUGUUAUAUAUUUUGCUCUGUAAACAUUAACAGAUAUAUUUCAAAGGGAGAUUAUUCAUUGUUUUUAGUGAAGUGUAUUUUUAAAAAAUAUAUAAUUUUCUGAUCGUCUAAAGUAUUGCUCAUUUUUUUUAGCAACAGUCAAAAGUAUCUUUAUCAAUUUCAAAUUGGUAAUGAUACUUUUGACUGUUGCUAAAAUGUGAACAAUACUUUCUUCUGAAAGUCUCCAAGUUUUAAAAACUGCCCAGUCAAUAAAUGUAUUAUAAUAUAUACCUUUUGUACUUAUGGUUUAUUUUUAUAUAUACAUUGUUCCUGCGUUAUAUUUGUAUUUUAGUAAUUUUAUUUUUACUUUGAAUUUUAAUACAAUAGCCUAAUCUGAAUUAUCUGUGUACAUGGAAGCUUUUUAUAAAUAUAUAUACUAAUAGAUGGAGAUUUGUAUAAUUAAAGUUGGUGGUUGGGCUAUGAACAUAUAAAAACUUAAAUUUCACAAUGAGUGAAAAAUAAUAUUUUUAUCUUGUACAUGGAGCAAAAUGACUGCAUAAAAAUGAUAAAAUAUGUAAACAUUUUAAAUUUCUUUGCAUUGUACAGAAAAUAAAUAAUCAUCUUUAAUUCAAAAUAUGUCCAUACAAAAUCCUAUAGUCUCUGAUGACUGGUUACUUUGAUUUCUGGCUUCAAAUCAUUGAAUUAUGGAUCCAGUGUUCUGUUUUCACUUACAGGAAUUUGACAACACUCCUUUCUACCUUCUGUCCUGGAAUCAACAGCCUUCACAUUUUUGAAGCUUUGUUUCAACAGGACAAAACCAGAGGAUCCAAAAAAGUUUUCUUAACAGAACGUAGAAAAGAGCAACAUAUAUUCUUGUAAGCAAAGCAUUCACACAGGAUAGACAUUUCAAUCUGAUUGUUUAAACUAAAGCAUCUUCUAUACCUUUUAGGUUAAAUAUAGGUUUAAAUUCUUUAGAUCCUAUCCAUGCUCAUGUGAAGCACUAUCCAUGCCCUUGUCAACCAACAACAAUCUUUGAUUAUUAAAAUAUUCAAGUAACAAAAUGCUGUAUAUGUGUAUAAUCAUACAUUUUAAGAAAACGAUUUUAUUGAUAUUAAAUAAGUUACAGAAAUUAUUGCAAGGUGAAGUCAUCUGUCAUGGGCAAAGGUAGAUAACUUCAUUUCAAAAAUUGUUCUACUGCUUAAAAUGACAAUCUUUCCCCUCAGUGCUAACAAGCACUUUGAUUUUAUAACUUUUGAAACUUGUUACUAUGUGAUGAUUAUCUUGUUGACUUUACAUUAUGUUGUUUUAAUUUGCAUUGUUUUUAUUUAAUAAUCAAAGUAAUCUGUAAAAGUUCCAUGUCAAUAUUUGUUGAUAAUGUAAUAAAUUUAU